GGCAUUUAAAAAGCAAGUUUGUGGGCCACAAGCUGAGUGUGUCAUGUCACUUUCACCACUGUCUCUUGGGAAGGCUGAGCAUGAGCAGCCCUCACAGGGCUCUCCCCAACUUGGGGAUGUGAAUUCCCAGACAGCAAGGAUCCAUGUGAGGGCAGAUUGGGCAGGAGAUGCCAGCGGUGCCCCUGAAGCCAUUGGCACAGGUAGCAUCAACAGACACAUGGCCAGCCAAAUGAGUGCAAUGGCUGAGGUGAGGCACGUCACAUGAGGACCUCAUAGCCCAAUUCAGACUACUCUUCCCUGUC
rnacentral:RNase_P_RNA from 1 species